AUUGAACGCUGGCGGCAGGCCUAACACAUGCAAGUCGAGCGGAUGAAGGGAGCUUGCUCCUGGAUUCAGCGGCGGACGGGUGAGUAAUGCCUAGGAAUCUGCCUGGUAGUGGGGGAUAACGUCCGGAAACGGGCGCUAAUACCGCAUACGUCCUGAGGGAGAAAGUGGGGGAUCUUCGGACCUCACGCUAUCAGAUGAGCCUAGGUCGGAUUAGCUAGUUGGUGGGGUAAAGGCCUACCAAGGCGACGAUCCGUAACUGGUCUGAGAGGAUGAUCAGUCACACUGGAACUGAGACACGGUCCAGACUCCGACGGGAGGCAGCAGUGGGGAAUAUUGGACAAUGGGCGAAAGCCUGAUCCAGCCAUGCCGCGUGUGUGAAGAAGGUCUUCGGAUUGUAAAGCACUUUAAGUUGGGAGGAAGGGCAGUAAGUUAAUACCUUGCUGUUUUGACGUGACCAACAGAAUAAGCACCGGCGAACUUCGU
rnacentral:rRNA from 1 species